CACAUCAGCAUAUGAGAGCUUGCC
rnacentral:siRNA from 1 species